CCUACGGGUGACUGCAGUGAGGAAUAUUGGUCAAUGGGCGCGAGCCUGAACCAGCCAAGUCGCGUGAGGGAAGACGGCCCUACGGGUUGUAAACCUCUUUUGCCGGUGAGCAACGGGCGCCACGUGUGGCGCCACUGAGAGUACCCGGAGUAACAGCAUCGGCUAACUCCGUGCCAGCAGCCGCGGUAAUAGGGGGGAUGCGAGCGUUCUCCGGAUUUAUUGGGUUUAAAGGGUGCGUAGGCGGAGCGUUAAGUCAGCGGUCAAAUUGAGGGGCUCAACCCCUUCCCGCCAUUGAAACUGGCGCUCUUGAGUGGAAGAGAAGUAUGCGGAAUGCGUGGUGUAGCGGUGAAAUGCAUAGAUAUCACGCAGAACCCCGAUUGCGAAGGCAGCAUGCCGGCUUCCUACUGACGCUGAAGCACGAAAGCGUGGGGAUCGAACAGGAUUAGAUACCCCGGUAGUC
rnacentral:rRNA from 1 species